rnacentral:rRNA from 1 species
GAUGAACGCUAGCUACAGGCUUAACACAUGCAAGUCGAGGGGCAGCGGGAUUGAAGCUUGCUUCAAUUGCCGGCGACCGGCGCACGGGUGAGUAACGCGUAUCCAACCUUCCGUACACUCAGGGAUAGCCUUUCGAAAGAAAGAUUAAUACCUGAUGGUAUGAUGAGAUUGCAUGAUAGCAUCAUUAAAGAUUUAUCGGUGUACGAUGGGGAUGCGUUCCAUUAGGUAGUAGGCGGGGUAACGGCCCACCUAGCCAACGAUGGAUAGGGGUUCUGAAAGGAAGGUCCCCCACAUUGGAACUGAGACACGGUCCAAACUCCUAACGGGAGGCAGGCAGUGAGGAAUAUUGGUCAAUGGGCGAGAGCCUGAACCAGCCAAGUAGCGUGAAGGAUGAAGGUCCUACGGAUUGGUAAACUUCUUUUAUACGGGAAUAAAGUCGGGUAUGCAUACCCGUUUGCAUGUACUUAUGAAUAGGAUCGGCUAACUCCGUGCCAGCAGCCG